GACGAACGCUGGCGGCGUGCUUAACACAUGCAAGUCGAGCGGUAAGGCCCUUUCGGGGGUACACGAGCGGCGAACGGGUGAGUAACACGUGGGUGACCUGCCCUCAGCUCUGGGAUAAGCCUGGGAAACCGGGUCUAAUACUGGAUAUGACUCCAUGACGCAUGUUGGUGGGGUGGAAAGCCUUGUGCGGCUGAGGAUGGGCCCGCGGCCUAUCAGCUUGUUGGUGGGGUGAUGGCCUACCAAGGCGACGACGGGUAGCCGGCCUGAGAGGGCGACCGGCCACACUGGGACUGAGACAC
rnacentral:rRNA from 1 species